GGGAUGCAGGCUCAAUUGGGGGGGGGGGCGCCGAGGAGCCCCUUUCACGAUCACAGCCCAGACUCCCGAGACACAAGGGGCAGGGAGAUCCAGCAAGUGAGCAGCUGUCUGGACAGGCAGGCUGAUGGUCAACUCUGUGUUGAGCACCUGCCUAGAGGUCAGGCUCCUGCUGUCUGGGACCCUUCGGAGGCUGCUCAUCGGGGGAACAUGCAUUCAUAUGUAACCACACAAAUGAAUGUAAAAUGGCCUCUGGGAUGCAUGCUUUGAAUGAGCAAGAGGAGGGGAUGCUGACCACCUGGCAGAAGGACCACUGGAGUGAAGAACAGGUAGGAGCACAUACCCAUUUGGGCGCCAGGGGGGAGACCCUGCUCUCAUGCCCCCCAACUGAUGAGUUUCUUCAAAAGGUUAUCUUUGGGGUAAUGAUAACCCUGACCUCAGCCAGCACCUACUUGAGCCCUAAUACUAAGUGCUUACCCACCAAGCACUUUGUCAGUGAGCAAUCAACAAGUCGUAGAGGAGUUCCUGUCAUGGCUCAAUGGUUAACGAAUCCGACUAGGAACCAUGAGACGGGAACUCCAAAGCAACCACUCUUACCUUUCUGUAUUCUCCCACCAAUGAGAUGGACUUCCUCCCUUCUUUAACAGGGUGGGGCUGACUUCUCCCAGCGCCCCCUUCCGAAAUGCCCUUGAAUCAUCAUGAUUUUAAAUCUGUUUAUCUUCCCUACUCUCAAUUCAUGAGCUCAAAAACAGAGGUCCAAAUUUUUUCUUCCCUAAUUUUUAUCCUCUGUAACCUUAUACACUAAAAAGACUCAGUAAGCAUUUGCUGGAUGAAGUUGAAAUGGAAAGCCUAAAACCAGGGUUUUGGUAAAAAUCAACCGAGACUGAAACAACAAUAGAUUAGCAGGACAUAAGAAGCCUUCCCCAUCACCCCAAAGCCAACACAGGUUUCAAGUUUAAAAGAACACAGGAGAUCAAAUCAGUGUUAGUUAUUUCUCAGUUUUUUUCUGGUCAUUUCCUACUGGUCAACAAAAAGCCAAAUCCUUCCACAGAAAAGAAAUUCAUGGACUUGGAGAACAGACUUGUGGUUGCCAAGGGGGUGGGGGAGGGAGUGGGAUAGACUGGGAGUCUGGGAUUAAUAGAUGCAAACUAUUGCCUUUGGAAUGGAUAAGCAAUGAGAUUCUGCUGUAUAGCACUGGGAACCAUAUCCAGUCACUUGUGAUGGAGCAUGAUGGAGGAUCAUGUGAGAAAAAGAAUAUAUAUAUAUGUAUGGGUGACUGGGUCACUUUGCUAUACAGUAGAAAAUUGACAGAACACUGUAAACCAGCUAUGAUGGAAAAAAAAAAAAUCAUUAAAAAAAA
rnacentral:lncRNA from 1 species